ACAAACGUGGCCUAUAUAUUUUUACUUCUUGAUCGUAUGUGACGUCUUAUAUCAGACAUAUGAGGGAUGAUUUAUGGAAAUAUGAGUCAUAGAGACACAAUGUUUCCCUAUUCAUGCUCUAUAGGCAACCUAAAAACACGGUUUCAGUAUGUGUGCUCUAUUAGGCAAGAUAAACAGACACACUCACAAGAAUCCAGUUUCGUGCUCUUUAUAGGCCGCAAAAAUGUCAAAUGUAUCCAAUACAUUGAUUGUUCCAUGAUGAAGCACCCUAUUUUAUAUGGAUAAUGGCAAAGAACAUUGUGG
rnacentral:lncRNA from 1 species